GAUGAACGCUGGCGGCGUGCCUAAUACAUGCAAGUCGAGCGAACAGACGAGGAGCUUGCUCCUCUGACGUUAGCGGCGGACGGGUGAGUAACACGUGGAUAACCUACCUAUAAGACUGGGAUAACUUCGGGAAACCGGAGCUAAUACCGGAUAAUAUAUUGAACCGCAUGGUUCAAUAGUUAAUGUCGGUUUUUCUGUCACUUUUAGAUGGAUCCGCGCCGCAUUAGCUAGUUGGUAAGGUAACGGCUUACCAAGGCAACGAUGCGUAGCCGACCUGAGAGGGUGAUCGGCCACACGGGAACUGAGACACGGACCAGACACCUACGGGAGGCAGCAGUAGGGAAUCUUCCGCAAUGGGCGAAAGCAGGACGGAGCAACGCCGCGUGAGUGAUGAAGGUCUUCGGAUCGUAAAACUCUGUUAUUAGGGAAGAAAAAAUGUGUAAGUAACUAUGCACGUAUUGACGGUACCUAAACAGAAAGCAACGGCUAACUACGUG
rnacentral:rRNA from 1 species